GGGAAUAUAAUAGUAGAAUCUCUGCUUUAUAGAACUUCCUUUGCUAUUUCUUUCAGUAUCUUAGGAGGCGUGGACAGCGGAGAUAGAGAAAGUUUUCUUUCGAAAAUGAUUUUGGCUUUAGAUUAAUCUUCUACUUCACUGCAUGAUGUUUUUAUUAUCUUUUGGUGAAUCUCUUUGGCUUAUCAGACAUUU
rnacentral:snoRNA from 1 species